AAUAGAUACCCUGGUAGUCCACGCCGUAAACGAUGAGUGCUAAGUGUUAGGGGGUUUCCGCCCCUUAGUGCUGCAGCUAACGCAUUAAGCACUCCGCCUGGGGAGUACGGUCGCAAGACUGAAACUCAAAGGAAUUGACGGGGGCCCGCACAAGCGGUGGAGCAUGUGGUUUAAUUCGAAGCAACGCGAAGAACCUUACCAGGUCUUGACAUCCCAUUGACCACUAUGGAGACAUAGUUUUCCCUUCGGGGACAACGGUGACAGGUGGUGCAUGGUUGUCGUCAGCUCGUGUCGUGAGAUGUUGGGUUAAGUCCCGCAACGAGCGCAACCCUUGUUCUUAGUUGCCAUCAUUUAGUUGGGCACUCUAAGGAGACUGCCGGUGACAAACCGGAGGAAGGUGGGGAUGACGUCAAAUCAUCAUGCCCCUUAUGACCUGGGCUACACACGUGCUACAAUGGACGGUACAAACGGUUGCCAACCCGCGAGGGGAGCUAAUCCGAUAAAACCGUUCUCAGCUCGGAUUGUAGGCUGCAACUCGCCUAC
rnacentral:rRNA from 1 species